GGUGCUGUGGCUUAUUCGGCAAUAGCGCCUGUCUUGUAAACAGGAGAUCCUGAGUUCGAAUCUCAGCAGUGCCU